rnacentral:rRNA from 1 species
UACAGGGGUCUCAAGCGUUGUUCGGACUCAUUGGGCGUAAAGGGUGCGUAGGCGGCGCGGUAAGUCGGGUGUGAAAUCUCGGAGCUUAACUCCGAAACUGCAUUCGAUACUGCCGUGCUUGAGGACUGGAGAGGAGACUGGAAUUUACGGUGUAGCGGUGAAAUGCGUAGAUAUCGUAAGGAAGACCAGUGGCGAAGGCGGGUCUCUGGACAGUUCCUGACGCUGAGGCACGAAGGCCAGGGGAGCAAACGGG